CUAACAUAGCAUCCUUCCAAUGGGAGAAUUUCACAGCUUGCUGAUAGUGUUCAGGUUCAAAAUUGGAAGAAACAUUGAGGAGAAAAUUACGAUGAGAAUGGGAAAAGGCCUUAUAUGAGAUGUAUUUGGAUAUGGAAUAUGGCAAGUAGUCAAAUGUUUGUUGACCAUUGAUCAAGAGAUUACAGUGAAAAUCUCUUAAAUAUGAAGGAGGUUUAGAGAAGCGAGAUGACCUUCUGGGAAUAUUGGAUGUGUAAGGUUGAUGAGCAAUGUGAGAAGAGGUAGUCUGCAAGUCAUUUGUGUUAUUGGGAAUAUUGUGAUCUAUGACUGCUUGUGAAUUGAUAGGAGGUAUAUGUGAAUGAGAGGAAGAAGGGAUGUCAUAGAUGGACAUGGGUAUCACAAGUUCAGGAAAUGGAUCAAUCAUGUCAGAAGAAUGAGGGAUCGAUUGAAAUGGGAAUAUGUGCUCGUGGAAUAUAACAUCCCUGGAUAUGAAAAAGGUUUUGGACUGAAUAUCAUACAACUUGUAUCCUUUAAUUCCAGGGGGAUAUCCUACAAAUACACAGGUAGUGGCUCUAGGUUGAAAUUUUGUUCGAUUGGAGGGUAAUGUAGAGGCAGAGCACAAACUACCAAACACUUUGAAGUGAUGAUAAUUAACAGGAGCAUCAUACAGUAGGUUAUAUGGGCAUUGAUUUUGUAAAACAGAUGAAGGAGUUCUAUUGAUAAUGAAUGUUGCAGUUAAGAUACAUUCAGUCCAGAAUUGAAUGGGAACUUUUGCUUGAAAAUAAAGUGAUCUGGCCACAUUAAGCAAAUGUUGGUGUUUUCUCUCAACCACGGAAUUUUGUUCAGGUCUUUCGACACAUGAAAACUGGUGAAUAACUCCCUUGGAAUGGAAGAAAUCAACAAAUUUUAACUCUGGUGCAUUGUCUGAUCUGAACAUCUUUAUCCCUUUGUGAAAUUGAGUUUCAAUCGUUUUAAAAAAUCUGGGAAUGAUGCUACUGACUUCUGACUUGUGUUUCAUGAGAUAUACCCACGUAAAACGAGUACUGUCAUCUACUAAAGUAAGGAAGUAUCUGUGUCCAGAAUGUGAUGCAACAUGGUAUGGUCCCCAUGUAUCACAGUGUACUAAAUCAAAGGCAUUUGCAAAAAAAUGGUUGUUGGAGACAAAUGAUAGCCUUCUUUGCUUUGCCAAUGGACAAACAUUACAAGGGAUUGAAUUAUGAUCCUUACUUUGAUCAAACUUUAAACCCAAAGAGUCUUUCAACAGUGCUAAUUUUUGAAAAGACAAAUGUCCUAAUCUGUGAUGCCAAGUAUUGGCAUUCACUUUAUUUACAACUGAGGAAACAGAAACACAAACUUUAUCAAUCGAAAGAUUUCUACUGUGAAUUGGAAAUGAAUCCAAUGCUGUUGCACUAAUGAUGUAAAGACCAGCACUUUUCCUACCCUUGCCAAUCAUCUUCUGGUUGUGUGUAUCCUGGAUAUCACACUCAUUAGCAAAAAAUCUGAUAGUAAUAUUCGAAUCCUUGGUCAAUGAACUUACUGACAUCAGAUUGAAUUUAAAGUCUGGCACAUAUAGUACAUCUUCAAGCAUCAGAUUAUUGCUAAACUUCACAGUCCCAACAAAACUCACAGGUAUUUUCUUAUGAUUUGGUAAGGUGACAUACGCAUUCUCAAUCAAUUUCAUAGAGUAAAAGGCAGACUUAUUGAAGCAUAUAUGGCUAGUUGCCCCAGAAUCCAUAACCCAGUGCUUAGGAGAAUUUAGACAUGGGUUAAGUGCAAUAGAAAAAAAA
rnacentral:lncRNA from 1 species